CGAAGGAUGCAAGCGUUAUCCGGAUUCAUUGGGUUUAAAGGGUGCGUAGGCGGACCUGUAAGUCAGUGGUGAAAUCUCUCAGCUUAACUGAGAAACUGCCAUUGAUACUGCAAGUCUAGAGUAUAGAUGACGUUGGCGGAAUAUGACAUGUAGUGGUGAAAUACUUAGAUAUGUCAUAGAACACCGAUUGCGAAGGCAGCUAACGAAACUAUAACUGACGCUGAGGCACGAAAGUGCGGGGAUCAAACAGGAUUAGAUACCCUGGUAGUCCGCACCGUAAACGAUGAUUACUCGUUGUUGGCGAUAUGACAGUCAGCGACCAAGCGAAAGCGAUAAGUAAUCCACCUGGGGAGUACGCCGGCAACGGUG
rnacentral:rRNA from 1 species